UUGAAGGUUGGGUAACACUAACUGGAGGACCGAACCGACUAAUGUUGAAAAAUUAGCGGAUGACUUGUGGCUGGGGGUGAAAGGCCAAUCAAACCGGGAGAUAGCUGGUUCUCCCCGAAAGCUAUUUAGGUAGCGCCUCGUGAAUUCAUCUCCGGGGGUAGAGCACUGUUUCGGCAAGGGGGUCAUCCCGACUUACCAACCCGAUGCAAACUGCGAAUACCGGAGAAUGUUAUCACGGGAGACACACGGCGGGUGCUAACGUCCGUCGUGAAGAGGGAAACAACCCAGACCGCCAGCUAAGGUCCCAAAGUCAUGGUUAAGUGGGAAACGAUGUGGGAAGGCCCAGACAGCCAGGAUGUUGGCUUAGAAGCAGCCAUCAUUUAAAGAAAGCGUAAUAGCUCACUGGUCGAGUCGGCCUGCGCGGAAGAUGUAACGGGGCUAAACCAUGCACCGAAGCUGCGGCAGCGACACUAUGUGUUGUUGGGUAGGGGAGCG
rnacentral:rRNA from 1 species